UACGAGGGGGGCAAGCGUUGUUCGGAAUUAUUGGGCGUAAAAGGUGCGUAGGCGGUUUGGUAAGUCUGAUGUGAAAUCUAUGGGCUCAACUCAUAGUCUGCAUCGGAAACUGCCGGGCUUGAGUAUGGGAGAGGUGAGUGGAAUUCCUGGUGUAGCGGUGAAAUGCGUAGAUAUCAGGAGGAACACCUGUGGCUAAGGCGGCUCUCUAGUACGGUACUGACGCUGAGACGCGAAAGCGUGGGGAGCGAACAGG
rnacentral:rRNA from 1 species